ACGCACGCUGGCGGCGCGCUUAACACAUGCAAGUCGAACGGAAAGGCCCUGCUUUUGUGGGGUGCUCGAGUGGCGAACGGGUGAGUAACACGUGAGUAACCUGCCCUUGACUUUGGGAUAACUUCAGGAAACUGGGGCUAAUACCGGAUAGGAGCUCCUGCUGCAUGGUGGGGGUUGGAAAGUUUCGGCGGUUGGGGAUGGACUCGCGGCUUAUCAGCUUGUUGGUGGGGUAGUGGCUUACCAAGGCUUUGACGGGUAGCCGGCCUGAGAGGGUGACCGGCCACAUUGGGACUGAGAUACGGCCCAGACUCCUACGGGAGGCAGCAGUGGGGAAUAUUGCACAAUGGGCGGAAGCCUGAUGCAGCAACGCCGCGUGCGGGAUGACGGCCUUCGGGUUGUAAACCGCUUUCGCCUGUGACGAAGCGUGAGUGACGGUAAUGGGUAAAGAAGCACCGGCUAACUACGUG
rnacentral:rRNA from 1 species